UACGUAGGGUGCGAGCGUUGUCCGGAAUUAUUGGGCGUAAAGAGCUCGUAGGCGGUUUGUUGCGUCGGCUGUGAAAUCCCGAGGCUCAACCUCGGGUCUGCAGUCGAUACGAGCAAACUAGAGUGUUGCAGGGGAGACUGGAAUUCCUGGUGUAGCGGUGAAAUGCGCAGAUAUCAGGAGGAACACCGGUGGCGAAGGCGGGCCUCUGGGCAACAACUGACGCUGAGGAGCGAAAGCGUGGGGAGCGAACAGG
rnacentral:rRNA from 1 species